rnacentral:rRNA from 1 species
GACGAACGCUGGCGGCGUGCUUAACACAUGCAAGUCGAACGGAAAGGCCCUGCUUUUGUGGGGUGCUCGAGUGGCGAACGGGUGAGUAACACGUGAGUAACCUGCCCUUGACUUUGGGAUAACUUCAGGAAACUGGGGCUAAUGCCGGAUAGGAGCUCCUGCUGCAUGGUGGGGGUUGGAAAGUUUCGGCGGUUGGGGAUGGACUCGCGGCUUAUCAGCUUGUUGGUGGGGUAGUGGCUUACCAAGGCUUUGACGGGUAGCCGGCCUGAGAGGGUGACCGGCCACAUUGGGACUGAGAUACAGCCCAGACUCCUACGGGAGGCAGCAGUGGGGAAUAUUGCACAAUGGGCGGAAGCCUGAUGCAGCAACGCCGCGUGCGGGAUGACGGCCUUCGGGUUGUAAACCGCUUUCGCCUGUGACGAAGCGUGAGUGACGGUAAUGGGUAAAGAAGCACCGGCUAACUACGUG